GUGCAGAGAAGCGCAAGUGUGCUCUCAAAAGCCAGCGGAAAAAGGGGGGGAUGGGUCACAGCAUGUGUGCAAGAGUGUGUGCGCAUUUAGCCGAGACAGCACCCUCAGGGCCGUCUGCGUUUUUCGGUCUGGUCGCCUGCCCGUGCCGCAAGUAUCGACUGAGUGUCUGAUUGUCUUCAAACUGUCAGGGUGGGCUUAUUGUGUUUCACAGCUCAAGAGCAGCCUGAAGACAAUGAGAAAAACUCCAAAACUGCGCUUCCAUUCUCUCGGAUCUCUCUGCGUGGCGAAGUCUGAAUGCUAAUUUCACACCUGGACUCAUUAUGUUUCUGUUAAAAUUCUCUGAUUAUUAAAAGUGCCAAAUUCAGAACAGCGCGACAGCGCCAAUUACGCCGCCACAAACUCCUUACAGAAAUGUUCACCACACCUUAUUGUGCUUUGCCAUGGGACUCAAAUAAAAGAACUUGCGGUAAUGCAUUGCUCAGGGGAAACUAGAAAGAAAUAAAAUUGUCUGUGUCGGCUAAUCGCUUCGAUGUAUAUAUAUCGCCACACUGUAUUGAUUCAUAUCCUGCCAUGCACGGCUGUUAUUCUGAGGAACAAAUAAAGCGCAGAGGGAGCAAGUGAUCAAUUAGCCUCACAUUAUUCCUUUUGUCUGCCACAGCUGAGCAGUCUUAUCAACCACAAGCACACAACUUCCCCUCUGGCUGUCGUCCCGAACCUGCUCCCAGAACCUGGCUUUAUCAGAACCACCGCUGCAGUCUGGCUUUGCAGGGUGCAUGUGUGUAUGUGUGCUUUGAGCCCAACUCCCAAGAGUUUAACAGACAAGGGUGUGUGUGUGUGUGUGUGUGUGUGUGGCAUUGACUCUCUUUGCGCUCGCAGCUUGCACACACACACUCUGCCUCGCAGCUGCGUGGAUGACAGAGAGAGCAGCGUGCAUGUGGACCACUGUCUCUCAGUCUGAGCGUAUGACAGUCCAGCUUGUGGAUGAGUGCACUCUCCCCCUCCAUCUCUUCCCGCGUAUGUGUCCUGCAGAAACCCGUCAGAACGACUGUGAAAAACUGACGUUCCUAACAGUGAUGUCCUCCUUCAUGCCCCACUGAAUGAGAUGAAAUCUCAUCUGUUGCUGUUUCUAAAGGUAAGACAGCAGUAAAUUCUCUCAAACGCGGAUAGACACAAUAAUGAAACAUUCUCCAGAAUAAACACACCCAGAGGAAAAUGUUAUCGCUCA
ensembl:lncRNA